AGAGUUUGAUCAUGGCUCAGGACGAACGCUGGCGGCGUGCUUAACACAUGCAAGUCGAGCGGAAAGGCCCUUCGGGGUACUCGAGCGGCGAACGGGUGAGUAACACGUGAGGAACCUGCCCUGGACUUUGGGAUAACCCUCGGAAACGGGGGCUAAUACCGAAUACGACACUUCACCCGCAUGGUGUGGGGUGUGGAAAGUUUUUCGGUCUGGGAUGGUCUCGCGGCCUAUCAGCUUGUUGGUGGGGUAAUGGCCUACCAAGGCGACGACGGGUAGCCGGCCUGAGAGGGCGACCGGCCCACUGGGACUGAGACACGGCCCAGACUCCUACGGGAGGCAGCAGUGGGGAAUAUUGCACAAUGGGCGGAAGCCUGAUGCAGCGACGCCGCGUGAGGGAUGACGGCCUUCGGGUUGUAAACCUCUUUCAGCAGGGACGAAGCGCAAGUGACGGUACCUGCAGAAGAAGCGCCGGCCAACUACGUGCCAGCAGCCGCGGGUAAGACGUAGGGCGCGAGCGUUGUCCGGAUUUAUUGGGCGUAAAGAGCUCGUAGGCGGCUUGUCGCGUCGACUGUGAAAACCCGCGGCUCAACUGCGGCCUGCAGCCGAUACGGGCAGGCUAGAGUUCGGUAGGGGAGACUGGAAUUCCUGGUGUAGCGGUGAAAUGCGCAGAUAUCAGGAGGAACACCGGUGGCGAAGGCGGGUCUCUGGGCCGAUACUGACGCUGAGGAGCGAAAGCGUGGGGAGCGANNAGGAUUAGAUACCCNNGUAGUCC
rnacentral:rRNA from 1 species